CUAUGAGAUUCCAAGAAGGGACAGAAUCUUUGCUCAAUUGAAAUUACUAGAAGCCUUCAUGGAAAAGAUGUGGAUACUGAGGCUUGGAAUAGUUUAAUGGCCUCUCAAAGGUCUUAUCCUGAAGUAUGAAGACCAGGAUUAAAUUCAGGUUUGUCUGACAAGGAGUAUCUGCUGGACUUGUGAAGGAAAUAAUUCUAUCAAUUCCUUAUGCUGAAUCUGUGGGGAAAACAAAAAUUUGUGAAGUUCUGCAUUUACAGGUCUACGUUGAAGCCUUUUAUCAAGAAACCUGGAUAUACAAUUCAUCUGACACUCCAAUAAAUACUGGAAAUUACAAGGACUGUCUUAGGAAUGUACAAAGCGUGUAUUUAAGAUGUCUGUUUUACCCUUCUAUCAAGAAGGCUUCAACAUAGAGACCUGCAAUAGACCUGUAAUAGACAUUGCAUUUUUUUUAUACAGACUUUACUAUUCUCCCUGCCUGUCUACCUUCAGGAUCCUGCUGAGGAUGUCCAUGAGGGUUCAGGUUGUGAGUUCAAAUGUUCUGGGUUAUAGGACCUGUGCCAUUUCUUACUAACUGCCUAACUUCAUGUAAUCUAUUCUAAACUGCUCUCCUGAUCUGUAAGUAAAAGAAGUGAUGGUAUCUGACUCACAGGUGUAAUGUGAGGAAUAAAUGAUGUAAGACACUUAG
rnacentral:lncRNA from 10 species